rnacentral:misc_RNA from 1 species
GAUGAAGAACGUAGUGAAAUGCGAUACUUGGUGUGAAUUGCAGAAUCCCGUGAACCAUCGAGUCUUUGAACGCAAGUUGCGCCCGAAGCCACUAGGCCGAGGGCACGCCUGCCUGGGCGUCACACGCCGUUGCCCCCCCAUCUACUCCUUCGGGAUUGCGGGGGGGCGGAUGAUGGCCUCCCGUGCGCCUAGCCGCGCGGUUGGCAUAAAUACCAAGUCCUCGGCGACGCACGCCACGACAAUCGGUGGUUGCGAAACCUCGGUUGCCCGUCGUGUGCGUUCGUCGCGCAUCGAGGGCUCGAAAAAAUGCUCGGCUCCGGCUGGGCUUUCAACGCGACCCCAGGUCAGGCGGGGUUACCCGCUGAAUUUAAGCAUAUCGAUAAGCGGAGGA